rnacentral:rRNA from 2 species
UGGGGAAUUUUGGACAAUGGGCGCAAGCCUGAUCCAGCCAUGCCGCGUGCAGGAUGAAGGCCUUCGGGUUGUAAACUGCUUUUGUACGGAACGAAAAGUCUCUUUCUAAUAAAGAGGGAUCAUGACGGUACCGUAAGAAUAAGCACCGGCUAACUACGUGCCAGCAGCCGCGGUAAUACGUAGGGUGCAAGCGUUAAUCGGAAUUACUGGGCGUAAAGCGUGCGCAGGCGGUGAUGUAAGACAGUUGUGAAAUCCCCGGGCUCAACCUGGGAACUGCAUCUGUGACUGCAUCGCUGGAGUGCGGCAGAGGGGGAUGGAAUUCCGCGUGUAGCAGUGAAAUGCGUAGAUAUGCGGAGGAACACCGAUGGCGAAGGCAAUCCCCUGGGCCUGCACUGACGCUCAUGCACGAAAGCGUGGGGAGCAAACAGG